rnacentral:rRNA from 1 species
GUGGGGAAUAUUGGACAAUGGGCGAAAGCCUGAUCCAGCCAUGCCGCGUGAGUGAUGAAGGCCUUAGGGUUGUAAAGCUCUUUCAGUAGGGAAGAUAAUGACGGUACCUACAGAAGAAGCCCCGGCUAACUUCGUGCCAGCAGCCGCGGUAAUACGAAAGGGGCUAGCGUUGUUCCGAUUUACUGGGCGUAAAGCGCACGUAGGCGGAUUGGUCAGUUAGAGGUGAAAUCCUGGAGCUCAACUCCAGAACUGCCUUUAAUACUGCCAGUCUAGAGUCCAGAAGAGGUGAGUGGAACUCCUAGUGUAGAGGUGGAAUUCGUAGAUAUUAGGAAGAACACCAGGGGCGAAGGCGGCUCACUGGUCUGGUACUGACGCUGAGGUGCGAAAGCGUGGGGAGCAAACAGGAUUAGAAACCCUAGUAGUCC